rnacentral:lncRNA from 1 species
AUGGGAUUAAAAAGCCUCCCACUAUAUAUAUCCCAAGGAACAGAUGGAUUGUCAAUGAAGGGUGAACUGUAUCAAGCACAGAGGAUUAUUCUGUUUGUUUCUAAAGCAAACUUCAAAGAUGAAAAAUUUGGAAAAAUCAGAGAAAGCAGUGGAUGUACAAGGCUAAUUCAGAACAACCUUUCUGGAAUUACCACUGCAACCACUGGAGCAAAUAUGAUGAAGAGAAUUACCAGCACUGUUACUCAAUAUAAAUGGCUCAGAAAAUGCCUUUCCUCCCUCUGUAAAAUAUCCAUCUCAAACGUUUAA